rnacentral:rRNA from 1 species
GUGGUGUGUCCAGUCGGCCUUUGCUCUUUGAGUGAUUGUGCUGUACUGGUCUGCCAUGUUUGGGUGGAAUCUGUGUGGCAUUAAGUUGUCGUGCAGGGGAUGCCCAUCGUUUACUGUGAAAAAAUUAGAGUGUUCAAAGCAGGCUUAUGCCGUUGAAUAUAUUAGCAUGGAAUAAUGAUAUAGGACCUUGGUACUAUUUUGUUGGUUUGCGCACUAAGGUAAUGAUUAAGAGGGACAGUUGGGGGUAUUUGUAUUCCAUUGUCGGAGGUGAAAUUCUUGGAUUUUUGGAAGACAAACUACUGCGAAAGCAUUUACC